rnacentral:rRNA from 1 species
CAAGUCGAACGGCAGCGCGGGAGCAAUCCUGGCGGCGAGUGGCGAACGGGUGAGUAAUACAUCGGAACGUGCCCAAUCGUGGGGGAUAACGCAGCGAAAGCUGUGCUAAUACCGCAUAAGAUCUACGGAUGAAAGCAGGGGAUCGCAAGACCUUGCGCGACUGGAGCGGCCGAUGGCAGAUUAGGUAGUUGGUGGGGUAAAGGCUCACCAAGCCGACGAUCUGUAGCUGGUCUGAGAGGACGACCAGCCACACUGGGACUGAGACACGGCCCAGACUCCUACGGGAGGCAGCAGUGGGGAAUUUUGGACAAUGGGCGCAAGCCUGAUCCAGCCAUGCCGCGUGCAGGAUGAAGGCCUUCGGGUUGUAAACUGCUUUUGUACGGAACGAAAAGGCUCUUUCUAAUAAAGAGGGCUCAUGACGGUACCGUAAGAAUAAGCACCGGCUAACUACGUGCCAGCAGCCGCGGUAAUACGUAGGGUGCGAGCGUUAAUCGGAAUUACUGGGCGUAAAGCGUGCGCAGGCGGUGAUGUAAGACAGUUGUGAAAUCCCCGGGCUCAACCUGGGAACUGCAUCUGUGACUGCAUCGCUGGAGUGCGGCAGAAGGGGAUGGAAUUCCGCGUGUAGCAGUGAAAUGCGUAGAUAUGCGGAGGAACACCGAUGGCGAAGGCAAUCCCCUGGGCCUGCACUGACGCUCAUGCACGAAAGCGUGGGGAGCAAACAGGAUUACAUACCCUGGUAGUCCACGCCCUAAACGAUGUCAACUGGUUGUUGGG